ACAGCAGCCGCCGCGGUAAUACGAAGGGGGCUAGCGUUGUUCGGAAUUACUGGGCGUAAAGCGCACGUAGGCGGAUAUUUAAGUCAGGGGUGAAAUCCCGCAGCUCAACUGCGGAACUGCCUUUGAUACUGGGUAUCUUGAGUAUGGAAGAGGUUAGUGGAAUUGCGAGUGUAGAGGUGAAAUUCGUAGAUAUUCGCAGGAACACCAGUGGCGAAGGCGGCUAACUGGUCCAUAACUGACGCUGAGGUGCGAAAGCGUGGGGAGCAAACAGGAUUAGAUACCCCCGUAGUCCCUGUCUCUUAUAC
rnacentral:rRNA from 1 species